rnacentral:lncRNA from 1 species
AAAAAAAUGAAAAAAACACAAUCACAUGCAUAUAAUCUUCAAAACAUGAACACGCAUUACUAUACAUUAAAAAACACAUAACAUACAUAUAAAUAUAUGUUACUACACGUGACUAUAUUUAUAUACAAUUAUCUAUAGUUAUAUAAGUGGCAUAAGUGUGGAGUACUGUAGCAUGAAUCCAACUUCACAAAGGCACUUCAUCGAAUUUUAUUCUUUGCAUGUCAUAAAACUAUAAUAAAAGCAAAACCUGCGACAAAAAAAUACGAGUUAAAUAGCAAAAUAGAACAUGCGAGUUAGAUUACAUGAAAAAUAAAAAUAAAAAACAUGAUUUUGUUGUUGAUAAAUUUACUGAACUAAAAUCGACUACAAAUCACUAUAGUAUACUACAAGUCCUAUAUAUAGUCAUGCAUAGUUACAUGUAGUCAUGACUAUACAUGACUACAUGUGACUAACUAUAUAUGACUCUAUAUGACUAAAUAUAACUGUAUAUUCACCUGACUCAAGUCACCCAUGUAAGUAACCACUACUGGUUAAAUUUUCAUUACAGACAAACAAAGCUAUCACAUUUUAGGCAUUUCGAAUCAUCUUCAAAUAAAUACAAAAAAUAAAUUACAUAUGAUUUAUAAUAAAAAAUUAAAUUAAUCCAAAGAAAAAUAUUUUAAUAUUAAUUGUUCACAGAUCUUAAAAAACAUAGUAGAUCUGGUUUUUUUUUUUUAAAUAAAUGCAGUAUUUAUAUACAAAUCGAACACCACCAAUUCCAGAUCUGAAAUUCACCAUUAGAUCUGACACAAUUUAAAAUUUUCGAAUUCAGUUAAUUUAAUAAAAAAACAAUAAAAUAAGGUGAAAUAGUGAUAAGAAUUCAGAUCUUCAAAAAAUAAAUUGAAAAUGGAUUGGCAUUCAUAAAUUAAAACAAAAUAACUUAAUAAAGUGAAGUGAAUGGUUUGGUACCGAGUUCAAGGCGGUGGGAGGAGCAACGACGGACGGCACAAGGCCGUGGCGAAGCAGCGGCGCAAGGCUUUGGCGGAGCAGCGGCGCAAGGCUUUGGCGGAGCAGCGGCACAAGAGGGUGCGCGGAGCAGCGGAACAGCCGGUGUGGAGCAGCGGAGCACGGCGGAGCAACGGAGCACCACGGAUCGAUGACGUCAUCCGGUAGAUCGCUGAUUAUGUCUUCUUCUUCGUUGUUUGUUGUUGUUGUUGUUAUCGGAGCGUUGGUUGAAAGCUUUUUCUUCUUGGCGGAUCUAGUUUCUUUUUUGUAUGUGUUUGUGUGUGUGUUCUUCUGUUUUUUCCUCUUGGCAGAUCUGGUUUCUUUUUGGUGUGUGUUUGUGUGUGUUUUUCUUCUUCUGUAUGUUCUUGGGGGUGAUGAGAGAGAGAUCUAGAGAGAGAAAAAGAGUGAUGUGAGAUUUGGC